UGAUGUGCCUCUAACUGACAGCUCAUCUGCAACUGUUGAAGAAAUUAGCCAGCCCAAUCCGAAGGAUGGUUCUCCUGGGGCUGCAUCUGCUAUACCAGAAACAGAUCUGCCAGAAAUUGCCCAGGUGAUAAGAUCAUGUCGAGAUGGUAUCCAUAAGGUGGUGGAAUUACUGCAGCACAAGUUUCCAAAUGUUUCAAAGACUCAGCUGAAUCGCAAAGUGAGAGAGAUAUCUGACUUUGUUGACAAUCAUUGGAAGGUAAAGAAAGAAGUGCUUGACAAGCUAGGAUUGG